rnacentral:rRNA from 1 species
AGUGAACGCUGGCGGUAGGCCUAACACAUGCAAGUCGAACGGCAGCACAGUAAGAGCUUGCUCUUACGGGUGGCGAGUGGCGGACGGGUGAGGAAUACAUCGGAAUCUACUUUUUCGUGGGGGAUAACGUAGGGAAACUUACGCUAAUACCGCAUACGACCCACGGGUGAAAGCAGGGGAUCUUCGGACCUUGCGCGAUUGAAUGAGCCGAUGUCGGAUUAGCUAGUUGGCGGGGUAAAGGCCCACCAAGGCGACGAUCCGUAGCUGGUCUGAGAGGAUGAUCAGCCACACUGGAACUGAGACACGGUCCAGACUCCUACGGGAGGCAGCAGUGGGGAAUAUUGGACAAUGGGCGCAAGCCUGAUCCAGCCAUACCGCGUGGGUGAAGAAGGCCUUCGGGUUGUAAAGCCCUUUUGUUGGGAAAGAAAAGGCAGCAGGUUAAUACCCCGCUGUUCUGACGGUACCCAAAGAAUAAGCACCGGCUAACUUCGU